rnacentral:rRNA from 1 species
CGGGCUCAAACGGCACAGGAAUAUUUUUGAAAGGAGAUAGCCAGCAAUGGUCUGUGCCGAGGUGCUGCAUGGUUGUCGUCAGCUCGUGCCGUGAGGUGUCGGCUUAAGUGCCAUAACGAGCGCAACCCCUACCGACAGUUGCCAACAGGUAAAGCUGGGGACUCUGUCGGGACUGCCGGCGCAAGCUGUGAGGAAGGCGGGGAUGACGUCAAAUCAGCACGGCCCUUACGUCCGGGGCGACACACGUGUUACAAUGGCAGGUACAGCGGGAAGCCACCGGGCGACCGGGAGCAGAACCCGAAAACCUGUCUCAGUUCGGAUUGGAGUCUGCAACUCGACUCCAUGAAGCUGGAUUCGCUAGUAAUCGCGCAUCAGCCACGGCGCGGUGAAUACGUUCCCGGGCC